GCUUUGGGGCGUGGGCUGAGCUGGGGGUAGGGCCCGGGGAUCACCAGGGGCUUCCCGAGGCUCCGCACACGCAGGGAAUUGAGGACCAAGUCCUACCGGGAGCGGGCUCCUGGGGGUUUCCACUGUGUCAGUAAACAAGCCUCAACAGCCAAGUUCCUCCUCUAGGUUCUCUGAGAGAGGGCGAGGUUCCGGGUGUGAGUGGGAGCACGGAGGAGACAAGGAGCCCGAGGGAGUCAUCCAGCGGCACUGUGAGCCUAAGGAACACUUCUCCAGGCAGUGAGUCCGGACGCUUGCUGGGCACUUCUCUGUUUCCUGCCUCCAAAGGAUACUCUUUGGUGCCUGGUCUCUAGGAUCUUUGAAACAAGUUUUCUUUAUAUUUUG